rnacentral:rRNA from 1 species
UACAGAGGGUGCAAGCGUUGCUCGGAAUCAUUGGGCGUAAAGGGUAGGUAGGUGGUCUCGUUUGUCUGGGGUGAAAGCCCAGGGCUUAACCCUGGAAGUGCCCCAGAAACGGCGAGACUAGAGUCUUGGAGAGGGUCGUGGAAUUCCCGGUGUAGCGGUGAAAUGCGUAGAGAUCGGGAGGAACACCAGAGGCGAAGGCGGCGACCUGGACAAGUACUGACACUCAACUACGAAAGCGUGGGGAGCAAACAGGAUUAGAUACCCUGGUAGUCCACGCUGUAAACGAUGGGUACUAGGUUUGAUGGGUCUUGACCCCCGUCGAACCGGCGCUAACGCAAUAAGUACCCCGCCUGGGAAGUACGGUCGCAAGACUAAA